CAGUCGCCGCGGGAAUACGAAGGGUGCAAGCGUUAAUCGGAAUUACUGGGCGUAAAGCGUGCGUAGGCGGUGAGUUAAGUCUGCUGUGAAAUCCCCGGGCUCAACCUGGGAAUGGCAGUGGAUACUGGCUCGCUAGAGUGUGUCAGAGGAUGGUGGAAUUCCCGGUGUAGCGGUGAAAUGCGUAGAGGUCGGGAGGAACAUCAGUGGCGAAGGCGGCCAUCUGGGACAACACUGACGCUGAGGCACGAAAGCGUGGGGAGCAAACAGGAUUAGAUACCCGCGUAGUCCCUGUCUCUUAUAC
rnacentral:rRNA from 1 species